rnacentral:rRNA from 1 species
AUUGAACGCUGGCGGCAUGCUUUACACAUGCAAGUCGAACGGCAGCGCGGGCUUCGGCCUGGCGGCGAGUGGCGAACGGGUGGGUAAUGCAUCGGAACGUGCCCAGUUGUGGGGGAUAGCCCGGCGACAGCCGGAUUCAUACCGCAUACGACCUGAGGGUGAAAGCGGGGGACCGAAAGGCCUCGCGCCAUUGGAGCGGCCGAUGUCGGAAUAGCUUGUUGGUGGGGUAAAGGCUUACCAAGGCGACGAUCCGUAGCUGGUCUGCGAGGACGACCAGCCAAAAUGGGACUGAGACACGGUCCAGACUCCUACGGGAGGCAGCAGUGGGGAAUUUUGGAAAAUGGGGGGAAACCUGAUCCAGCCAUGCCGCGUGCGGGAAGAAGGCCUUCGGGUUGUAAACCGCUUUUGUUCGGGAAGAAAUCCUCUGGGCUAAUACCCCGGGGGGAUGACGGUACCGGAAGAAUAAGCACCGGCUAACUACGUG